rnacentral:rRNA from 1 species
GACGAACUGUGCAAACGUUAUUCGGAAUCACUGGGCUUAAAGGGUGCGUAGGCGGUCUUUUAAGUCGGGUGUGAAAGCCUCUGGCUCAACCAGAGAACUGCGCCCUAAACUAGAAGGCUUGAGUGAGGUAGGGGUGUGUGGAACUUCCAGUGGAGCGGUGAAAUGUGUUGAUAUUGGAAGGAACGCCGGUGGCGAAAGCGACACACUGGACCUUGUCUGACGCUGAGGCACGAAAGCCAGGGGAGCAAACGGG